rnacentral:rRNA from 1 species
UACGUAGGGGGCAAGCGUUGUCCGGAUUUACUGGGCGUAAAGAGCGUGUAGGCGGCCAAACAGGUCCGUUGUGAAAACUGGGAGGCUCAACCUCCAGACGUCGACGGAAACCGUGUGGCUAGAGUCCGGAAGAGGAGAGUGGAAUUCCUGGUGUAGCGGUGAAAUGCGCAGAUAUCAGGAAGAACACCCGUAGCGAAGGCGGCACUCUGGGCCGAUACUGACACUGAGGAGCGAAAGCGUGGGGAGCGAACAGG